rnacentral:tRNA from 1 species
GUCAGGAUGGCCGAGUGGUCUAAGGCGCCAGACUCAAGUUCUGGUCCACUUAUGUGGGCGUGGGUUAGAAUCCUACUUCUGACA